rnacentral:lncRNA from 1 species
AGAAUAAUCGAACAAGCCUCUAGCGAGAAUCACUGGUUGUCGCACAUAUACGUCUUAUUUUUGGUUCGCCAGCGCAGGAAUAUGUUACUAAGAAUUUUGUUUAAGGUAGAUUAUAAAAGGGUGUCUGGUGGAAUAUCAUGAUAGAAAUGUGUGUGAAAGGGCAAACAUUGGAUGAUCUGGUCUGGAAGAGUUACUUUUGCUCUCUUGCAGGGGCUGCGGACAUAUGAUGGCUGCUGUUUCUGGUUUCUCAUUAUCGUCAGCGUCACAUGGAUCUACACUUAGAGAUGGCAGAUGGCAAAGGGGCCCGAUUCCCCUUUUUUUUGCGGGGAAUUCCUCUUGUUUGGUUAGGUAUGAAUUGGUGGGAAUUUAAGUGGAAUCCACUCAAAUUCUCAUUAAUCCACCCAUAACCGAACAAGCCUAGAGGUGAUGAAAAAUGUUCUUCCUCCACAGAGAUGUAAUCCACCCAUAACUGAACAAGCCUAAAGGUGAUGAAAAAUGUUCUUCCUCCACAGAGAUGUAAACGGGGAAAAAAUUAUCUCGGCGGAUAAAGAGAGAUGGAGAAGCAUUCCUCAUUAUCGUUUCCCGCGGGUCCAAUUUAUAUAUGAUGAUGUUUUCAUAUACACAAAAUGAUUUCUUACAUGUAAAUUACUUUAUCAAGAGACCAAUCGUUGUAUAAAUGUGUUAAUUUUGACGUACACAAAAUGAUUUUUUACAUGUAACAAUAUGUGUAAGUGACAAUGUUGUAUUAAUAACAAAUAAAGUAUGCCAUGAUUAUAAUUUAAGCCGAGAUGAGGAUCUCCGACGGGGAUUUAUCCCCAUGAAGAAGGAAAAAAUGCCACACACAAGAGUUCG